rnacentral:rRNA from 1 species
GACGUAGGUGGCGAACGUUAUCCGGAAUUAUUGGGCGUAAAGGAUGCGUAGAUGGUGUAGUAAGUUAUCGGUGGCAAAUCGAGGCUCAACCUCGUGGAAGUCGGUAAUACUGCUAUGCUAGAGGAUAGGAGAGGUUAACGGAACUCCCUGUGGAGCGGUGAAAUGCGUAGAUAUAGGGAAGAACACCAAUCAGGCGAAGGCAGUUAACUAUUCUAUUCCUGACAUUGAGGCAUGAAAGCGUGGGGAGCAAACAGG